rnacentral:rRNA from 1 species
UACGUAGGGUGCAAGCGUUAAUCGGAAUUACUGGGCGUAAAGCGUGCGCAGGCGGUGAUGUAAGACAGAUGUGAAAUCCCCGGGCUCAACCUGGGAACUGCAUUUGUGACUGCAUCGCUGGAGUACGGCAGAGGGGGAUGGAAUUCCGCGUGUAGCAGUGAAAUGAGUAGAUAUGCGGAGGAACACCGAUGGCGAAGGCAAUCCCCUGGGCCUGUACUGACGCUCAUGCACGAAAGCGUGGGGAGCAAACAGG